CCUACGGGAGGCAGCAGUGGGGAAUAUUGGGCAAUGGAGGCAACUCUGACCCAGCAACGCCGCGUGAGCGAUGAAGGUCUUCGGCUUGUACAGCUCUUUAAGCGGGGACGAAGAAAGUGCCUGUAACCGCAUAAUAAGCCUCUGCUAACUACGUGCCAGCAGCCCCGGUAAUUCGUAGGCGGCAAGCGUUAGGCGGAAGGACGGGGCGUAAAGGGUGCGAAGGUGGUUUGGCAAGUUGGUAGCGUAAUCCCGUGGCACAACCGCGGUGUUACUACCAACACUGUUGAACGGGAGUGCAGGAGGGGUGAAGGGAAUGCCCAGUGUAGCGGGGGAAUGCGUAGAUAUUGGGAAGAACACCAGCGGCGAAGGCGAUUCACGGGACUGUAACUGACACUGAGGCACGAAAGCGUGGGGAGCAAACAGGAGUAGAUACCCCUGUAGUC
rnacentral:rRNA from 1 species